UCGGGAAUUUUGGGCAAUGGGCGAAAGCCUGACCCAGCAACGCCGCGUGAGGGAUGAAGUAUUUCGGUAUGUAAACCUCGAAAGAAUGGGAAGAAUAAAUGACGGUACCAUUUAUAAGCUCCGGCUAACUACGUGCCAGCAGCCGCGGUAAUACGUAGGGAGCAAGCGUUGUUCGGAUUUACUGGGCGUAAAGGGCGCGUAGGCGGCGCGGUAAGUCACUUGUGAAAUCUCUGAGCUUAACUCAGAACGGCCAAGUGAUACUGCUGUGCUAGAGUGCGGAAGAGGCAACCGGAAUUCUUGGUGUAGCGGUGAAAUGCGUAGAUAUCAAGAGGAACACCUGAGACGAAGGCGGGUUGCUGGGCCGACACUGACGCUGAUGCGCGAAAGCCAGGGGAGCAAACG
rnacentral:rRNA from 1 species